rnacentral:lncRNA from 1 species
AAAAAUAGCAUUUAAAUUAAUUGAAUAAUUAAUAAUGAAAAUAAAAAAUAUCUCUUCUUUUUUGGAGGCUCUAACGGUAAGAAAAAGGAGGGGAAGAGAAAAAGGACUGACACUGAUACAUUUCCAUUCACCCACUCAAGAUUAACAUACUUUCUCUGUAAAAAGAAAAAGAAAGAAAAGAAAGAAGAAGAGAAAACAGAAACAAAAAAGAGAGAAACUAAUAUCUCUCUUCACCUCACCUCACGCCUCUCAUCAUCUUUCUCCAUUGUCGCUCAUCCUCCGUUCACCACAAAUCACACCUUUGACCUCCUUCUCUAAGCGCAAUCCACGACCGGCAGCCGCCGGAAACUCUUCGCCACUCCAUCGUCG